AUUGAACGCUGGCGACAUGCCUUACACAUGCAAGUCGAACGGCAGCACGGGUGCUUGGACCUGGUGGCGAGUGGCGAACGGGUGAGUAAUACAUCGGAACAAGUCCUGUAGAGGGGGAGAGCCCGGCGAAAGCCGGAGUAAUACCGCAGACGAACUACGGAAGAAAGAGGGGGCACUACGGAGCUAGGGCUAUGGGGUUGGCCGCUGGCGGAUUAGCUAGUUGGUGGGGUAAAGGCCUACCAAGGCGACGAUCAGGAGCCGGUCUGAGAGGGUGAGCAGCCACACUGGGACUGAGACACGGCCCAGACUCCUACGGGAGGCAGCAGUGGGGAAUUUUGGACAAUGGGCGAAAGCCUGAUCCAGCAAUGCCGCGUGUGUGAUGAAGGCCUUCGGGUUGUAAAGCACUUUUGUCCGGAAAGAACAACUUUGCCCUAAUCCGGGCGCGUGAUGACGGUACCUGAUGAAUAAGCCCCGGCUAACUACGUG
rnacentral:rRNA from 1 species